rnacentral:lncRNA from 1 species
GUGUGCUCCACUUAAAUGAGAAAAGCAACGAACAAUAAGCCCAGGGUGAAGAUUUGGUUACAUACCCUGCUUCUCAGGUUUUGCUUAAGUUUAGCGCCCACCAGGAAGAAAGAAAACGAUUAUCUGCCUCCUUGACUUUUGCAUCAUUUGUCUUUCUUCUGAUGAAAGUGGGACUAAUCACUGAGUUAGGGUUUCCUUAUUUUUAGUCUACACCAUGUUGCUUUAUCCUAAAAGGAUAAAUAUGGGCUGUGUGAUGGUUGACCACCUUUCUUCUUCCUUCUAUGAAGGUCUGAAAGGGCACAAGACAGGUAAAAAGGAAACAGCUUUUCUUUAGUAACUAAGUUGCUAGAUUUUUGAUCUCAUGGCCCUGAGCUACACGUGAAUGACUUUGACCUGUAAUCUGAAAUAAGAUAGACUUCAGAGUUCACCUCUCCCACCAUUUCACUCCAAAGGUGAGAUAAGGUAGAGUUGCUAAAGGUACAGUAUGAAGGGCAUGUGGCAUUUUAGUGUUGACAGUAUGCCAGCUCUAAGACCUGCUUCUUCCAUCUCCAACCAUUCCUGGACUCUGCAGGUGACACGAGCCACUGUGCUCCUGGAUGCUUCAGAACCUGUGCAGAUCUCUGUCUUCACUCCUACUAUGGCAUCUCCUAGCAUGUUCUACACUGAGCUCCACUGGGCCUUGCAUGUCAGUAUCCCGAAUUCUGAAUGAAGCUUGGAACAUGGGAGGUGCAUCCACUAACAACAUGAAGAAUGAAGACAUGUAUUGACUACCUUUGACAAAAGUAUGUCAAAAGCAAUACAUCUUACUAGUGGAGCGAAGACACUGCAUGCUGACAAAGGUGAUCUCAGAUGUGAGGUCGAUGGUGCGCCAUGCAAUCAGCUUGCUGAGUGAGCCUACUUAUGCCCCAUCCCGGGGGCCUAGGGUAAGAAAAGUGCCAAGCGAAGCUGAGGAUCAGACUAAAGCUGGAAGGUGUCAAGGCACAGGCUGAGUCAUCAGAACACCUUCCCUGAAUUGUGUCAAACAAGUGUACAUGUGCUCAAGUGUAUCUGGAUUCUGAUUUGGCUGCACAGUCACUGUUUUCCAGAUGUUUGCAGAAGAAAUAUGAGCUGGAGGAGACUCACUGAAAGCUGGAACUAGAAGGAUGCACACUGCUCAUCCAAGCCAAUUCACUUAUUUUACCAAUGAUAAAACUGAGUCUCAGAGAAGUCAUACGCUUGCCCAAAGACACAGCUUGUGGUGGAGGAGUCAACACCAGAACUCUGGUCCAGGACUGCAAAAAAACACUUAACAUGUGCUAAUAAUGAGGAUAAAAGAUACUUCAAAUUCUGGGAGUUCUAUAAUGUUUGAGCACAUAUACCAUUGAAUCCUUUUAAUAACCCAUCGCUUACACAGAUGAGGAAACCAAGGCUCAUAGAAAUAAAGUGCUUUGCCAAAAGGCACAAAACUGGUCAGUAAUAAAUCUGAUCUCCAGGUUCCCAGUCCAGAACUUUCUGCAGCACUAUCUUUUUGUUCCCUUUAACUACCAGAAGCUUUAACCCAAAAUGAGGCUUCAACUAUAAAAGCUAUUUAAGACCUUAUGGCUGCGUAUCUCUGCCCUAAGUUUUCUCUUGAUCCUUAUUUUAUAUUCUAAUGUUUAAAACUUGUUCCCCAAAUUUUUAAAGUUUGCAUUCAUUUUAUUUCAAUAAGCCACGCCAAAAUCUGUGUGUCAUAAGCUAUCUAUACGUAAAUAAAUGAACGAAUGAAUGAGCAAACAAACAAAAUCUUAAGAGGCAGAGUAACAUGGUGGAAAAAUACCAGGCUUACAUUCAAUUCAAUACCACUUUGUCUAUUGUCUUCAUCUUUGAGCCUCACUUUCAUUAUCUGUCAAACAGGUCUAACAAAAUUUAUCAUUAAGCAUUAUUAUAAGUCUAAAAAUAAACAUGGAACAUAUGAAGAA